UACUGAUGCUAAUGAGGUUAAAAAUUUGUAGUGCUUUGGAAUUAUCUAUACAAUUGUUUGUCAAAGAAUUUUUUAAUAAUUGGUUGGUUUUAGUAUGUUUAUUAUACACGUGUGUGGAAAAGUUUUUUAAACUUGAUUCUUACAAAUGUGUACAAAGUUUACCACCCCUACCCAUGGAAAUAUCAUUGUAAUUACCACCAGCGGUUAUUGGAAAUCGAAUGUACCAAAUGAUGAUUGAAAUAUCGAAAUUUCAUCUCUCUGAGAACGAUAGACAAAUGGUAAAAUUUCUUCUAAUAAAAUAUAAAAGAGAAAUUGGUUUACGAUGGUUCGGAGGCAUUGUCAUUACACGAAGAUUUUCGUUAAAUUUUUUAAGUCUUUUGACUUAUAUUACUUUCACCUUUUUGCAAAUUAAACAAAUUAAAGAAAGACAACUUCUAUAUGUAUAAAAAUC